UUCAAGAAAGGGAAUACAAAGCCAAGGAAAGCAAGAAAAAAACAAGGCCAUUCGGCCAUUGCUCAAAUUUUUGCCCCUCAAAAAUCUUGUUCCAAAAAUUAUUUUCUUGUGGUAUUUCUACUAAUUCAAGGACCCUCUACAACGUGGUGCAAUUAUUUCGGAAGAUAGAGCUCUUGUUUCAUCCAUUUAACAAGUGGGUUUAGUGAAGAAGUUUGGAAGAAAAAGAUUUUGGAGAAAACUGGGAUUGAGCUUGGAGAGGCGUAAGACGCGAAAAAGGUACAGACGACAGAUUUGCUGAUCCGCCUGCUUAGGACUAUAUUAUGCUAUCUUGGAGUGCUCUAUUGUUCGGAGCCUACGUUUUGGUACAGCCUUUUGCCAUUGUACAUAUGUAUGCUAUUCAGGGGUACGACGGGGCCCUGUCCUGUCUUAUGAUUCUGAUGUGUUCUGUAGAGGUCUGUAGACAUACAUGUGGGUUCUGUAUAUGCUUUGGGUUGAUAUGCUCUGUGAUAGCCUUAUCGGCUUCUACGUGCUAUAUCUGUUCAUCUGUGAUAGUUAGUGACGCCAUUUGACUUUUA